UUCAUGGUGAGCCCGGGUUAGCUGGAAAGGACUGCUCCAGUCAGCUCCUCCAUGAAGGCCUGGGGCAGUGUAAAACACCAGCAAAGGAACGGCCCAGCAUUUCCGCUGCAAAGCAGAGAGGCGUCCCUCCCAGGUCCAGGCACCCAGCCUUCCAACUUGAGUCCAGCCCAAAGCCUGCACUCUAAUACAUAUCAUACUUGAUAUUAAAGUGAGAAGAGGGGUAAUUUAUAGGAGCUGCAUGAGAACUGUUUUCUUCUCUGGGCCAGCCUGUAUGGAAUCGCCACCUCUAUUCACCGUCCACAGUGGGACGAGAGGGAGAGAGGAAGCCUUUCCAUUCUUCCAGCAACAGUUCUGAAAAACCACACGUCCUGGGCAUGCCCGCUGUUCAAAAGAAGGUGGAACAGAGAGCAGGGUGGCUAUCUCUUUGUGUGUGCGAAUCUUGGAGGAAGGAGGGUAGGACGCGCGAUAAUGGGACUUCGCGCUAAAUUCCCAUCCCAACCUCUCACCUGGGGAGCUGGCGUUGGUCUGCUGCACAUCUUGAGCUGAAACAAAAUUGUCUUAUGUGUACAGCGUCUUUUCCAAAGAGGGAGAGAUGCCCCUGAAAUCCCACUUCUUGACAUUGAGCAGAGGUGCCAUCUCUAAUGAUUAGCGAGACACUGUGGGCUGUUUGUGCCGAUCUCCACCUGCGCUGUGAAAUCCCCAUGAUUUUUCUCACAUUCCCACUCAAGCUGCCGAGCAACUGGGCCCUCUCUCUUCUACGCGUGGCUGUGUCAGUGGGACUUCGGUGCGCCAUCCACCGGGUUGUUUUCUCGCUCCUCGCCACGACUAGUGAUGGGGUGUGGGAGGAGGCAGGCAGGUCACCGGAGGGCAGGGUCCCUCCACCCACCACGUACCCCCUUCAGUGGGCUGCCUUUCCUUCCGUUCGGGGUGAAAUCCUCCGCUCUGCUUUCUUAGGUACCCUUUGAAUGUAUCCCCGGGGGCUUCUGGAAGCGUCCUGCAGCUCUGCUGUCGCGUGGUAGGACUGCGGCAGUGUGAGGCUCGCAUGUGCAAAGGGGGGUGUGAGGACAGCUGGACUGCAUCCCUGAAAGCUGAGCUCCCGAGGCAUGCCUUUCACAGCCCAGCAGCACCAGCCCCCAGGGUCCUGCAACUUUCUCUAGACAUCCGGAGCUCUGCCUUGGGCAGGACUGACCAGGAACUGGAGGAAGAGGGCUUGGGAGCUUUCCGGAAAAGGUCUUGCUUUUAAACACUGGAAACCUGGAGGGAGGAAGGUGACGACGAGAAAUCUGCCCUCUUGUUCUCUGCUAAGUCGUGUCGCCUUGAACAAGAGACCUGCUCGUUUCAUCUUUAAAAUAAACCUUUUGAGCCA